rnacentral:rRNA from 1 species
UACGGAGGGUGCAAGCGUUGCUCGGAAUCAUUGGGCGUAAAGCGUACGCAGGCUGUUCGUCAAGUCGGGUGUGAAAGCCCGGGGCUCAACCCCGGAACGGCGCCCGAAACUGGCGAGCUUGAGUGCGGGAGAGGGAAGCGGAAUUCCUGGUGUAGAGGUGAAAUUCGUAGAUAUCAGGAGGAACACCGGUGGCGAAAGCGGCUUCCUGGCCCGACACUGACGCUCAUGUACGAAAGCGUGGGGAGCAAACAGG